rnacentral:rRNA from 1 species
AGUGAACGCCGGCGGUAGGCCUAACACAUGCAAGUCGAACGGCAGCACAGUAAGAGCUUGCUCUUACGGGUGGCGAGUGGCGGACGGGUGAGGAAUACAUCGGAAUCUACUUUUUCGUGGGGGAUAACGUAGGGAAACUUACGCUAAUACCGCAUACGACCUACGGGUGAGAGCAGGGGAUCUUCGGACCUUGCGCGAUUGAAUGAGCCGAUGUCGGAUUAGCUAGUUGGCGGGGUAAAGGCCCACCAAGGCGACGAUCCGUAGCUGGUCUGAGAGGAUGGUCAGCCACACUGGAACUGAGACACGGUCCAGACGCCUACGGGAGGCAGCAGUGGGGAAUAGUGGACAAUGGGCGCAAGCCUGAUCCAGCCAGACCGCGUGGGUGAAGAAGGCCUUCGGGGUGUAAAGCCCUUUUGUUGGGAAAGAAAAGCAGCAGGUUAAUACCACGCUGUUCUGACGGUACCCAAAGAAUAAGCACCGGCUAACUUCGUG